rnacentral:rRNA from 1 species
GACAGAGGAUGCAAGCGUUAUCCGGAAUUAUUGGGCGUAAAGGAUGCGUAGAUGGUGUAGUAAGUUAUCGGUGGCAAAUCGAGGCUCAACCUCGUGGAAGUCGGUAAUACUGCUAUGCUAGAGGAUAGGAGAGGUUAACGGAACUCCCUGUGGAGCGGUGAAAUGCGUAGAUAUAGGGAAGAACACCGGUGGCGAAGGCGGCUCUCUGGACCGACACUGAUGCUGAGGCGCGAAAGCGUGGGGAGCAAACAGG